rnacentral:rRNA from 1 species
UAAGGAAUAUUGGUCAAUGGACGCAAGUCUGAACCAGCCAUGCCGCGUGAAGGAUGAAGGUCCUCUGGAUUGUAAACUUCUUUUAUCUGGGACGAAAACGGGAUUUUUAUCUCAAUUGACGGUACCAGAGGAAUAAGCACCGGCUAACUCCGUGCCAGCAGCUGCGGUAAUACGGAGGGUGCGAGCGUUAUCCGGAUUUACUGGGUUUAAAGGGUGCGUAGGUGGGCUUAUAAGUCAGUGGUGAAAUCUCCGAGCUUAACUUGGAAACUGCCGUUGAUACUAUAGGUCUUGAAUUAUCUGGAGGUAAGCGGAAUAUGUCAUGUAGCGGUGAAAUGCUUAGAUAUGACAUAGAACACCAAUUGCGAAGGCAGCUUACUACAUAUAAAUUGACGCUGAGGCACGAAAGCGUGGGGAUCAAACA